UUUUUCAGCUCAUAAGCCUCAAGUCGUAACAGAUAUCUCUCCCUCUAAGAAGUGCAAAAGAUUGUAUCGUUCUAUUCAAAAAUCGAUUUCUUCGCUGCCAUCGUAACCCAAGGCUUUACUUCGCGUUUGAAAUGAAGUUGAAGAUCAACAAAGCCUGCGAUAUCAACUCCAUUUCGGUCCUUCCUCCUCAAUCAAGGAGACUGAGUACUCUACCAACUGGACUACAAACAUCACAGCUUAGACCACAUCCAUCGCAACAAUCAUUUUCACAGGGGAUUUCAUCGCAGCCUGGCAUGCUUUCUCAGCUCUCUCAAACCUCUUUUGAUGAAUCUCUGACAAAUGACCAGAGAUUUAAUUUGCAAGAGCGGCAGAACUCUGUGAAGAAGACAGCUUGCUUGCCCUCAGUUAGCUAUGCAAGUGAAGAGAGUCAAAUGCCAAUCUCAAGAUCUACUACCAAUUUAUUGCGUAAAUGGAAUUCCGUAUCUGUUCCAGAUCAUAAAUGUCAGAUAAAUGAAGAACUUGAGCACCGGAUUGGAAUGGUGGAAACUUCAUUGAACAAGUUUGGAAUGAUCUUGGGUUCUGUUCAGAGUGAUGUCAUGCAAGUAAACAAGGGAACAAAAGAAGUAUCACUGGAGAUGGAAGGCAUGCGACAGAAGUUGAUUGUCCUUGACACCUCACUGCAGCUAAUGAUCAAGGGACAAGAAGACGCUAAAUUUAGCCUCAAUGAGAACUUUAAAUCUAUAUCUGAUCGCCUGAGCAAGGAUAUAUAUCAAGAAAAAUUACAGCAGAUUUUUUCGGUGCUUUCUGCCCUACCAAAGCAGAUGGAAGCUUCUCUGCUGAAAUUACAAAAUGAACUCUGCAUGACCUUCACCAAAGUGAUCACGCAGGCAACAACUUGCGACCUGAAAACUUCCAGCCAAAAUAGCCCGUCGAUUACUGUGCUUCCACCAAAGGUUACUGGCAGUUACACCACUCCACAAAGAAAGCCGGAGCCUCUUAGGAAUCCAGCCAUGCCUCCAAUGCCAUGUGGGCAAGCAACAGUGUGUCCAAAGAUAGAAAUGGGAGCUUGGAACACUGUAAGGCCAGAACAAGCUACAUUCACGCAAAUGGCAUCCCACAUGGAACAGAAAAGCAAACGAGUUUCUUCUUUUCAAAAGGAAAAACAAUGUGUUAUCAUCGAAUCAGAUGAGGAGAUUGAUGGAGUUUUUUCAUGCUUGAUUGAUGAUAAGAAAACAGAGCUAUUAAGCUGCCAUUUGUCAGAAUCUGGGUGAGUGGGUUUCUGUUAUUACUAUAAACUUUACCUGUUUCCUUGGUAAAGGCAUUGGAAACUACAUGAUUGGUGAAGCAACAGAAGAGUCGGAGCGAAUUCUGAGAAAAGCAAGGAGGAGAAAGAGAAAACACUGUAAUCUAAUAAUUAUUAAUUGAAGAUGGAAGAUUUCUCUCUUUUCAUGAAGUAUCAAAGGUUUU